CUGGGGCAAAGACCACCUUUGUUGUAUUCGGGGGCUCCAUGUUGAUUGCUCUAAUUCUGUCAGGAGUGGUUCUUCACAAACGAGGUAAAUUGAAAGGUCUUCGACAAAAAAUAAAGACAUACACUUUCAAAACACCCGAAACGGAAAAUGAAAGAGCAGCAGCGCACAUCGGUGUUUUUGGUGAGAUGGGAGCUGGGAAGUCUUCAUUCAUCAAUUCUAUUGAGUUCGCAUACAAAGGCGAGCGAAGCCAGCCUACUAGAUCAACGGGAGAUAUAACUGGAGGAGACACCAUGCCUCGAAGCUGUCUUCAUCUCACC